rnacentral:rRNA from 1 species
UGGGGAAUUUUGGACAAUGGGCGCAAGCCUGAUCCAGCCAUGCCGCGUGAGUGAAGAAGGCCUUCGGGUUGUAAAGCUCUUUCGGCGGGGAAGAAAUCGCAUUCUCUAAUACAGGAUGUGGAUGACGGUACCCGAAUAAGAAGCACCGGCUAACUACGUGCCAGCAGCCGCGGUAAUACGUAGGGUGCGAGCGUUAAUCGGAAUUACUGGGCGUAAAGCGUGCGCAGGCGGUUUUGUAAGUCAGAUGUGAAAUCCCCGGGCUCAACCUGGGAACUGCAUUUGAGACUGCAAGGCUAGAGUGUAGCAGAGGGGGGUAGAAUUCCACGUGUAGCAGUGAAAUGCGUAGAGAUGUGGAGGAAUACCGAUAGCGAAGGCAGCCCCCUGGGCUAAUACUGACGCUCAUGCACGAGAGCGUGGGGAGGAAACA